GAUGAACGCUGGCGGCGUGCCUAAUACAUGCCAGUCGAGCGAACAGACGAGGAGCUUGCUCCUCUGACGUUAGCGGCGGACGGGUGAGUAACACGUGUAUAACCUACCUAUAAGACUGGGAUAACUUCGGGAAACCGGAGCUAAUACCGGAUAAUAUAUUGAACCGCAUGGUUCAAUAGUGAAAGACGGUUUUGCUGUCACUUAUAGAUGGAUCCGCGCCGCAUUAGCUGGUUGGUAAGGUAACGGCUUACCAAGGCAACGAUGCGUAGCCGACCUGCUAGGGUGAUCGGCCACACUGGAACUGAGACACGGUCCAGACUCCUACGGGAGGCAGCAGUAGGGAAUCUUCCGCAAUGGGCGAAAGCUUGACGGAGCAACGCCGCGUGAGUGAUGAAGGUCUUCGGAUCGUAAAACUCUGUUAUUAGGGAAGAACAAAUGUGUAAGUAACUAUGCACGUCUUGACGGUACCUAAUCAGAAAGCCACGGCUAACUACGUG
rnacentral:rRNA from 1 species